GGAACCACCAGGAGAAAUGUGCUCCUUGGCUCCAGGGCUGCUAAAGAUGCAAGAGGUAAGAGCAAGGCUGGUGCGGCUGCCGGAGGAGGAAGUUCCUGAGGAGGUGGCCAGUGGGAGUGGAGAGAGGGGUGCAUAGAGGUGGACCAGGCUGGGGGCUGACAUGGUUCAAGCCCUGAAUCUGGCCACACUGGACGUCUGGGCACUCAGAGGAUUCGAGUCAGCGUAUCCCCCUCUGGCCUCAGCCGGCCCGUCUGUCCAUCGACCACAGCCGAGAGGACCCAACUCUUGGGGUCGAUGAGCCAUUGUCGGCUGUGGAGGACUGUCCAGAGUGGGCUGAGCUGGCCAGGAAGGCUUCCUGGAAGAGGUGUUACCCGGAGCCUUGGAGGAUGAGAAGGAAGGAAGAGGGAAACACUUCUGGUCUCCUGGUACAUUUGAGAACCUGGUGAGGCCAUCUUUACUUUCCUCAUCUAGAUGAGAGGGUUAAGGUCAGGAGGACCCGUCGCUCCAUCAGGCCAGAUAUGGACCUGGGU
ensembl:lncRNA